AGGUUGUGUAGUGUACCACUGCCAUCUAGUGGCAGAAGUUAAUAUCAGCUUUACUUACUCAGAUAGUUUAUACAGACAGGAAGUGACCCUUGUUCCAGGAAGCUCUUCCACCAUCUUGAGGUCAUUCUUCCACUGGGCAGGCAGCAUGUAUCUAUCUCUCCCAUGAGGUUUGGGACAUCAUCACCUUUUCACAGACUAAAAUAAAGUUGGAGUCCUCUGGUGGACAAUACAAGCAUGGGCUUCUGUUUACUGGAGUCUCUAACAAGUGUUUAGCUGUCCGUUUAGAACCACACAUAGUCAGUGUUUUGAGAGCGGAACAGUGAAAAGGUGGUAGCACAACAAGCCUGGAGAUAGUAGUUGCUGCACAGACAGAAUGAGUCUAAGAUCAGGAAGUCAGUAUAAUGCUGAAGAUCAGCUACCCGGGACACAUCAAGGCAGGGAGAGCGCGCCAAGUGUCCAGCAGGAUGAUGUACGCUCACGCUCAUCUAGAUCAGCAAAGUCCAGUCAGAUUUCAUCAGCAAGUGCCCUUUUUGCCAGGGCUCGCGCCAAAGCAGAGGCUGCUCGCGUUCAGCUAGAAUUUGCUGAGAAAGAGGCUGCCAUUAUGAAGGAAAGAUCAGAGAAAGAGGCUGCCAUUAUGAAGGAAAGAUCAGAGAAAGAGGCUGCCAUUAUGAAGGAAAGAUCAGAGAAAGAGGCUGCCAUUAUAAAAGAAAAAACUGAACAGGAAGCAAAGUUGCAUAUUCUUCAACGUCAGUGUGCAGCCGCUGCUGCAGCAGCAGAAGCAGCAGCUUAUGCAGAUAUUGAGCGGUCUGGAAUGGAAUCUAUCCACGAAGGCCCAGAUGUGCCCGAGAAACCGCUUUCCUCUGCAGAACGCACUAGGGCGUAUGUCCAAGAUAUUUCAAGUGGCAGCUCAACAAUACCGUUUCUCAAUCCAAAGUCAGCUGAAUUUAAACCAAAACCAUCAGAACUCCUGAGCGCACGAAAACAAACCCAUGAGGCUGGCAGUACCAGAGUGAUAAAAGAAGAAUCCUCACCGCAGCAACCCAAACACCAGAGCAUGCAAGACGUCACUAAAUAUCUUAUCCGUAAAGAAAUGGUUAAUACAGGCUUCCUCAAGUUUGAUGACUGCCCAGAAAAUUACUGGGCAUGGAAGGCUUCUUUUCUGAAUGCAGUCAAAGACUUGGACUUAACAGCAGCUGAGACGCUAGACCUGAUGGUAAAGUGGCUUGGGUCUGAGUCUGCAGAGCAUGCAAGAAGGAUGCGCAGGAUACACCUAUUUAACCCUUCAGUAGGACUCGAUAUGGCCUGGCAAAGGCUAGAAGAAAGAUAUGGAUCACCAGAGGCAAUUGAAGGUGCUCUGAUGAAAAGACUGGAGUCUUUCCCUAAGCUAAACAGCAAAGACAAUUUAAAACUGCAAGAGCUGGGUGAUAUUCUUUGGGAAGUCCAGUGUGCCAAAGAAGAAGGUUAUUUAAGGGGACUUGCACAUUUAGAUACUGCCAACGGUACUAAGCCUAUAGUGGAGAAACUACCUCACCACCUGCAAGAGAAAUGGGUGAGUGUUGGAGCUAAAUACAAAGAAGAACAUGGUGUCCCCUUCCCCCCUUUCUUUGUGUUUUCUAGGUUUGUACAGCAGCAAGCUAAGAUGAGGUGCGAUCCCAGUUUUUCCUUCAUCACCAGCAGCCAACUGCCUAAGGCAGAAAAGCCACCUAGAUCCUACAAUAGGACUUCAGUGAUCACCCACAAGACAACAGUUCCCUCUGAGGACCCAGGAGAUUCAAGCAGCUACAAGGUAAACACCUUUGAAGGCCCUGACAGACUUUGCCCACUUCAUAAAAAGCCCCAUCCUCUAAACAAGUGCAAAGGGUUCAAAAGUAAACCUAUCAAGGAAAGGUUAGCCUUUCUUAGACAAAACGGCAUAUGCUUCAAGUGUUGUGAAUCCACCAAACAUAUAGCUAAAGACUGCAAAAUACAAGCAAAUUGCUCAGAAUGUGGCAGUGACAGACACAUCUCAGCUCUGCACCCCAAUACUUUGCAUCAACCAUUAGAGGUCACUGAAACCCCAAAAGAUGAGGGCAGGGAGCAAAAAGAUAAAUCAGCUAUCCCAGUAAUGUCCAAAUGCACUGAAAUCUGUGGUGACAGUACAAAUCCACGCUCAUGUUCCAAGAUCUGCCUAGCAACAGUGUACCCCACAGGGAAAAGAGAAAAGGCAGUAAAGAUGUAUGUGGUUCUGGAUGAACAAAGUAACAGGUCGCUGGCAAGGUCAGACUUUUUUGAUGCCUUCAACAUUACAUCAAGGGCAGUUCCAUACACCCUAAAGACAUGUGCAGGAGUGAUAGAAACUUCAGGGAGAAGAGCUACUGACUUUACUAUUGAGUCUCUUGACAAGAGGAUCCAUCUCUCACUUCCCACUUUGAUAGAGUGUGAUAUGAUACCAGAUGAUAAAUCAGAGAUCCCUACACCAGAAGUGGCCCUUCAUCAUCCUCAUCUUAAUGCAAUAUCUCACCUUAUUCCAGCUGUCCAGACAGACGUCUCUAUUCUUCUACUUCUUGGAAGAGACAUUCUACAGGUGCAUAAGGUACGCCAACAAAUUAAUGGACCAUUUAAUGCCCCCUAUGCGCAAAGACUUGACUUGGGGUGGGUUAUAGUUGGAGAAGUUUGUUUGGGAGCAGCUCAUCGGCCUGACAGUGUCAACACUUCUAAGACAUCUGUGUUAACAAAUGGACGCACGUCCCUUCUCAGUCCAUGCCAAAACAGCUUUGUUGUUAAAGAAACCCUAAAACCAUACUGUGGCUCUCCUUCCAGUUAUGAUAGGAAUAUUAGUAGUGGUCUGAAGACCGACAAUUUAGGGAACUCAGUGUUCCAGAAGACAAAAGAUGAUGACAAACAAGCAAUGUCCAUAGAUGAUCAAACCUUUCUCCACAUCAUGGAUAAAGAGACUUUCCAAGAUAAGAACAACAAUUGGGUAGCCCCUUUACCUUUUCGCAAACCAAGGUGUUAUUUACCUAGUAACAGAGAGCAAGCCAUGAAGCGCUUAAACACACUACGCAAAACUUUGCAAAGAAAGCCUGAAGUGAAAAAAGACUUUACAGAAUUUAUCAAAAGGAUGCUGGACAAUAAUCAUGCUGAAUUAGCACCAUCACUGGAUAAAGGUAAAGAACACUGGUAUCUGCCAAUGUUUGGCGUUUACCAUCCACACAAGCCAGAUCAAAUAAGAGUUGUGUUCGAUUCCAGUGCUCAACAGGAAGGCAUUUCACUAAAUGAUGUACUGCUGAGUGGCCCAGACCUAAACAACACACUUCUGGGUGUCCUCUUACGCUUCAGGAAGGAGCCUAUUGCCUUCACAGCUGAUGUGCAACAGAUGUUUUAUUGUUUUCUAGUGAGAGAGGACCAUCGAGACUACCUGCGUUUCCUGUGGUACAAGGAUAACGACAUAGAUAAAGAGGUAACAGAGUACAGAAUGAGAGUACAUGUUUUUGGUAACAGCCCUUCCCCCGCUGUUGCCAUAUAUUGUAUGCGGAAAGCUGCCCAGAAAGGUGCAGAACGUUAUGGUCAAGAUGCCAAGCACUUUGUGAUGAGACAUUUCUAUGUAGAUGACGGACUUGCUUCAGCGAACACACCUGAAGGAGCAGUUAACAUUCUCAACAAAGCAAAACAAAUGCUGGCAGAGUCUAAUCUGCGACUACAUAAGAUUGCCUCUAACAGCAAACAAGUCAUGGAAGCUUUCACCGCAGAAGACAGAGCUAAAGACCUCAAAGACCUUUGCCUGGGAACAGACACCCUUCCAUUGCAGAAAAGUCUAGGCCUAAGCUGGGAUCUAGAUAAAGACUGUUUUGUGUUUCAGGUUUCUUCAGCAGAAAAGCCAUUCACAAGAAGAGGGAUCCUAUCCACUGUUAACAGUCUCUACGACCCUCUCGGGUUUGUGGCACCAGUCACCAUAAAAGGUAAGGCCUUAGUUCGUGAACUAUCAAGUGGAGAAAGUGAGUGGGAUGCCUUACUUCCACAAGAAAGACUCCAUGAGUGGGUCCAAUGGACAGAGUCUUUACAAGCCUUACAAUGUUUACAAAUAUCCAGGUGUUAUGUACCUCUUUCAUUGUCACAGGCCUGCAAAAAAGAACUGUACAUCUUUUCAGAUGCAUCUGUUAUAGCAAUAGGUGCCGUUGCUUACUUGAAGGUAAGCGAUGUAGGAAAUGUCUGCCAUGUUGGAUUUGUUAUGGGAAAAUCCAAGCUAAGUCCUAGGCCAGCACACACAAUCCCACGUCUAGAGUUAUGUGCAGCUGUACUAGCGGUUGAACUGUAUGAGCUAGUGAGAGACGAGAUAGACCUAGACCUAGAUGCUGUGAAAUUCUUUACAGACAGUAAAACAGUCCUAGGCUAUAUCUGCAACACUACAAAGAGAUUCUUUUUAUAUGUUUCUAAUCGGGUGAACGGGAUCAGACAAACAACACGUCCAGAGCAAUGGUUCUAUGUGCCCUCAGAACAAAAUCCUGCAGAUUAUGCUACCAGGCCUACACAGAUAGCUUGCCUUCAGAACUCUAUAUGGUUUUCAGGGCCAACUUUUCUGUAUCAGACGGCUGUAGAUAGUCCUGACACCAAUGUUUACCCUUUAGUGGAGCCCGAAGCUGAUCCUGAAAUUAGGUCAGAAGUAGUAAGUUUCAGUACUAAAGCCCUUGACGCUAGACUGCAGCCACAUCGUUUUGUAAGAUUUUCGGACUGGAAGAGACUGAACAGGGUUAUAGCGAAGUUAAUCCAUGUUACCAAAAGCUUCCAAAAGAAACUUAAUGAUGAUCAACCUGGAAGUUGGAGAGUUUUCCAUGAAAGAUUGAAGUAAAAGUCACUAAACAAGAGACUGUUAAAGUGUACGCCAGACCAGUUUCUGAUGUCAUUGUUCUCCUUUGAGUAUUUCUAUUCUGUUAUUGGCUCAAUACAUAACUAAGAGCUUGUCACUGAGAGUUUUCAAAUGUGACAUUUGCCACGAGCUGAAUUCCAUUCUGUGGAUUACAAAUGGGGUAGGAGAUAGUUUGGCCUAGUGCGGCUUCUCCUAUCUGAAGAUGGGUUUAUGGACAGAACUAUUUCUUCAUGCGGAUUACCAGCUUGAAGUGCCACAGCCAAGAGACACUGAUAUUGUGGACUUAUGUUAUAGUUUGUUAUUAGUUCUGGUCAGGAACACAUUAUCUUAUUAAUAUGUUUUUCCCUGUACAUCAGAUAUGUAUAGGUAGUGAUAUAAUGUAUUAUAUCAGGCAGGGAGUGUGCUGCCUUUUUAGGUUAACUGCAUUAUAAUGAUAGGUUGUGUAGUGUACCACUGCCAUCUAGUGGCAGAAGUUAAUAUCAGCUUUACUUACUCAGAUAGUUUAUACAGACAGGAAGUGACCCUUGUUCCAGGAAGCUCUUCCACCAUCUUGAGGUCAUUCUUCCACUGGGCAGGCAGCAUGUAUCUAUCUCUCCCAUGAGGUUUGGGACAUCAUCACCUUUUCACAGACUAAAAUAAAGUUGGAGUCCUCUGGUGGACAAUACAAGCAUGGGCUUCUGUUUACUGGAGUCUCUAACAAGUGUUUAGCUGUCCGUUUAGAACCACACAUAGUCAGUGUUUUGAGAGCGGAACAAU